CCUACGGGUGGCAGCAGUGGGGAAUAUUGGGCAAUGGAGGCAACUCUGACCCAGCAAUGCCGCGUGAGUGAUGAAGGUAAUUUUAUUGUAAAGCUCUUUUCUUUGGAACGAAUAAAUGACGGUACCAAAGGAAUAAGCCCCGGCUAACUACGUGCCAGCAGCCGCGGUAAUACGUAGGAGGCAAGCGUUAUCCGGAAUGACUGGGCGUAAAGGGUGCGUAGGUGGUUUGACAAGUUGGUAGCGUAACUCCGGGGCUCAACCUCGGCACUACUACCAAAACUGUCGGACUUGAGUGCAGGAGGGGCAAAUGGAAUUCCUAGUGUAGCGGUGGAAUGCGUAGAUAUUAGGAGGAACACCAGUGGCGAAGGCGAUUUGCUGGACUGUAACUGACACUGAGGCACGAAAGCGUGGGGAGCAAACAGGAUUAGAUACCCUUGUAGUC
rnacentral:rRNA from 1 species